rnacentral:rRNA from 1 species
CCUACGGGGGGCUGCAGUGGGGAAUAUUGGGCAAUGGGCGAAAGCCUGACCCAGCAACGCCGCGUGAAGGAAGAAGGCUUUCGGGUUGUAAACUUCUUUUCUCAGGGACGAAGAAAGUGACGGUACCUGAGGAAUAAGCCAAGGCUAACUACGUGCCAGCAGCAGAGGUAAUACGUGGGUGGCAAGGUUUAUCCGGAUAUACUGGGUGUAAAGGGUGUGGGCGGGGAGGCAAGUCGGAUGUGAAAACCACGGGCUCAACCUGUGGCCUGCAUUUGAAACUGUGUGUUUUGAGUACUGGAGAGGCAGACGGAAGUCCUAGUGUAGCGGUGAAAUGCGUAGAUAUUAGGAGGAACACCAGUGGCGAAGGCGGUCUGCUGGACAGCAACUGACGCUGAGGCGCGAAAGCGUGGGGAGCAAACAGGAUUAGAUACCCGAGUAGUC